rnacentral:rRNA from 1 species
CCUACGGAGGCAGCAGUGGGGAAUAUUGCACAAUGGGGGAAACCCUGAUGCAGCGACGCCGCGUGAGUGAAGAAGUAAUUCGUUAUGUAAAGCUCUAUCAGCAGGGAAGAAAAUGACGGUACCUGAGUAAGAAGCCCCGGCUAACUACGUGCCAGCAGCCGCGGUAAUACGUAGGGGGCAAGCGUUAUACGGAUUUACUGGGUGGAACGGGAGCGUAGACGGCAGUGCAAGUCUGGAGUGAAAGGCGGGGGCUCAACCCCCGGACUGCUCUGGAAACUGUACGGCUGGAGUGCAGGAGAGGUAAGUGGAAUGCCUGGUGUAGCGGUGAAAUGCGUAGAUAUUAGGAGGAACACCAGUGGCGAAGGCGGCUUACUGGACUGUAACUGACGUUGAAGCUCGAAAGCGUGGGGAGCAAACAGGAUUAGAUACCCUAGUAGUC